GGAGAAGUCCAUUAAUCAAGAAGUUUUCCUCUCUGGUGUGAUCCGCAAGUCUUUCAUUACUCAAGAAGUUUUCCUCUUCAUUGAUGAUCUGAAUAAAAUUUAGUUGUUACAAAAUUUGGAACACCCAAUAGGACUAUCUUUACCUCUCAUCUCUUCUCUUCCAAGUUCAAAACUACUAAGAAGACCGCAAUGAAGAUCUACUCCAGAUCCCAUACUACUAAGGAGGCUCAAUCAAAAAUGAAUUUAAAGUUACCUUGAAGAUUGCUGGCCAAAUCAAGAGGAGUGAAGCUGAAAUAGUAGGAAUACAAGUGUUGCAAGUACCAUUCAAGUCAUCUCAUGUUUCCGCAUAAUAUUCUUUGAAAGAAGGGAUAUCCUCUUCAUACAUGCUAGAAGAAGGGAACAGUAUUGCUCAUGUGGUAGAAAGAACUUUGGCUUGACUCAGCCUGUCAAAAGAACGAUAUUUCUUGUCCAACAACAACCGCAUCAUGCAAAAAGAAGAUAAUAUUUUGAGCUCUAGAUUUACUCCAGUAUUCCAUCAUAUCCCUCUUCAAUCAAAGCUUUAUUUAAGUAAUGAUCCAUACUAUUCUUCA